UGCCAGCCGCCGCGGUAAUACGGAGGGUGCAAGCGUUAUUCGGAUUUACUGGGCGUAAAGCACGCGUAGGCGGUUUGGUAAGUCUGGUGUGAAAGCCCGGGACUCAAUCUCGGAAGUGCACUGGAUACUGCUAGACUAGAGUAUUGGAGGGGAGAACGGAAUUCCUGGUGUAGAGGUGAAAUUCGUAGAUAUCAGGAGGAACAACGGCGGCGAAGGCGGUUCUCUGGACAAUUACUGACGCUGAGGUGCGAAAGCGUGGGGAGCGAACAGGAUUAGAUA
rnacentral:rRNA from 1 species